rnacentral:rRNA from 1 species
GGGAGUACGACCGCAAGGUUGAAACUCAAAGGAAUUGACGGGGGCCCGCACAAGCGGUGGAGCAUGUGGUUUAAUUUGAAGCAACGCGAAGAACCUUACCAGGUCUUGACAUCUUUUGCCAAUCCUAGAGAUAGGACUUUCCCUUCGGGGACAAAAUGACAGGUGGUGCAUGGUUGUCGUCAGCUCGUGUCGUGAGAUGUUGGGUUAAGUCCCGCAACGAGCGCAACCCUUAUUGUUAGUUGCCAGCAUUAAGUUGGGCACUCUAGCAAGACUGCCGGUGACAAACCGGAGGAAGGUGGGGAUGACGUCAAAUCAUCAUGCCCCUUAUGACCUGGGCUACACACGUGCUACAAUGGACGGUACAACGAGUCGCAAGACCGCGAGGUUUAGCAAAUCUCUUAAAGCCGUUCUCAGUUCGGAUUGUAGGCUGCAACUCGCCUACAUGAAGUCGGAAUCGCUAGUAAUCGCGGAUCAGCAUGCCGCGGUGAAUACGUUCCCGGGCCUUGUACACACCGCCCGUCACACCAUGAGAGUUUGUAACACCCAAAGCCGGUGGGGUAACCUUUUGGAGCCAGCCGUCUAAGGUGGGACAGAUGAUUAGGGUGAAGUCGUAACAAGGUAGCCGU